rnacentral:rRNA from 1 species
CCGAUGGCGACCGGCGCACGGGUGAGUAACACGUAUCCAACCUGCCGAUGACUCGGGGAUAGCCUUUCGAAAGAAAGAUUAAUACCCGAUGGCAUAGUUCUUCCGCAUGGUAGAACUAUUAAAGAAUUUCGGUCAUCGAUGGGGAUGCGUUCCAUUAGGUUGUUGGCGGGGUAGCGGCCCACCAAGCCUUCGAUGGAUAGGGGUUCUGAGAGGAAGGUCCCCCACAUUGGAACUGAGACACGGUCCAA